rnacentral:rRNA from 1 species
CUUCCGUAGGGGUAACCUGCGGAGGGAUCAUUACACAACAAAAAGUAUCUAGGGUGUGAGCCCUCUGCUCGCAACGAGGCCGUCCGCCCCAAGACUAUUUAUUCACCCAUGUCUUUUGCGCACUUGUUGUUUCCUGGGCGAGUUCGCUCGCCACCAGGACCACAACCAUAAACCUUUUUUUAUGCAGUUGCAAUCAGCGUCAGUAUAACAAAUGUAAAUCAUAUUAAAACUUUCAACAACGGAUCUCUUGGUUCUGGCAUCGAUGAAGAACGCAGCGAAAUGCGAUACGUAGUGUGAAUUGCAGAAUUCAGUGAAUCAUCGAAUCUUUGAACGCACAUUGCGCCCUUUGGUAUUCCAAAGGGCAUGCCUGUUCGAGCGUCAUUUGUACCCUCAAGCUUUGCUUGGUGUUGGGCGUCUUUUUGUCUCUCGCCCUUGCCGGAGAAGACUCGCCUUAAAACGAUUGGCAGCCGACCUACUGGUUUUCGCAGCGCAGCACAAAUUUGCGCCUUCCAAUCAGCAAAAGAGGACGGCAAUCCAGCAAGACUCCUUCUCACGUUUGACCUCGGAUAACAGGUAGGGAUACCCGCUGAACUUAAGCAUAUCAAUAAGCGGAGGAA